rnacentral:rRNA from 1 species
CAAUAGCGUAUAUUAAAGUUGUUGCGGUUAAAAAGCUCGUAGUUGGAUUUCUGCAAGGAAGGAGCGGUCCACCCAUUGGGCGCGUACGGCUACCUUUGUUGCAUCUUUCUGAGGACGUGUUCUUCACUUAAUUGUGAGGGCGCAGGACUCAGGACAUUUACUUUGAGGAAAUGAGAGUGUUUCAAGCAGGCAAAUGCCUUGAAUACGUUAGCAUGGAAUAAUAGCAUCGGACCAUCGUCCAGCUGUUGGUGUCUGGGCGAAGGUAAAGGUGAAUAGGGAUUGUUGGGGGCAUUCGUAUUUAACUGUCAGAGGUGAAAUUCUUGGAUUUGUUGAAGACGGACCACUGCGAAAGCAUCUGCCAAAGAUGUUCUCAUUGAUCAAGAACGAAAGUUAGGUGAUCGAAGAUGAUUAGAUACCGU